GGGUUGUGAGGUUAAGCGACUAAGCGUACACGGUGGAUGCCCUGGCAGUCAGAGGCGAUGAAGGACGUGCUAAUCUGCGAAAAGCGUCGGUAAGGUGAUAUGAACCGUUAUAACCGGCGAUGUCCGAAUGGGGAAACCCAGUGCAAUUCGUUGCACUAUCGUUAACUGAAUACAUAGGUUAACGAGGCGAACCGGGGGAACUGAAACAUCUAAGUACCCCGAGGAAAAGAAAUCAACCGAGAUUCCCCCAGUAGCGGCGAGCGAACGGGGAGCAGCCCAGAGUCUGAAUCAGCUUGUGUGUUAGUGGAACGGUCUGGAAAGUCCGACGGUACAGGGUGAUAGUCCCGUACACCAAAAUGCACAGGCUGUGAACUCGAAGAGUAGGGCGGGACACGUGGUAUCCUGUCUGAAUAUGGGGGGACCAUCCUCCAAGGCUAAAUACUCCUGACUGACCGAUAGUGAACCAGUACCGUGAGGGAAAGGCGAAAAGAACCCCGGCGAGGGGAGUGAAAAAGAACCUGAAACCGUGUACGUACAAGCAGUGGGAGCACCUUCGGGUGUGACUGCGUACCUUUUGUAUAAUGGGUCAGCGACUUAUAUUCUGUAGCAAGGUUAACCGUAUAGGGGAGCCGCAGGGAAACCGAGUCUUAACUGGGCGUUAAGUUGCAGGGUAUAGACCCGAAACCCGGUGAUCUAGCCAUGGGCAGGUUGAAGGUUGGGUAACACUAACUGGAGGACCGAACCGACUAAUGUUGAAAAAUUAGCGGAUGACUUGUGGCUGGGGGUGAAAGGCCAAUCAAACCGGGAGAUAGCUGGUUCUCCCCGAAAGCUAUUUAGGUAGCGCCUCGUGAAUUCAUCUUCGGGGGUAGAGCACUGUUUCGGCUAGGGGGUCAUCCCGACUUACCAACCCGAUGCAAACUACGAAUACCGAAGAAUGUUAUCACGGGAGACACACGGCGGGUGCUAACGUCCGUCGUGAAGAGGGAAACAACCCAGACCGCCAGCUAAGGUCCCAAAGUCAUGGUUAAGUGGGAAACGAUGUGGGAAGGCACAGACAGCCAGGAUGUUGGCUUAGAAGCAGCCAUCAUUUAAAGAAAGCGUAAUAGCUCACUGGUCGAGUCGGCCUGCGCGGAAGAUGUAACGGGGCUAAACCAUGCACCGAAGCUGCGGCAGCGACACUAUGUGUUGUUGGGUAGGGGAGCGUUCUGUAAGCCUGCGAAGGUGACCUGUGAGGGUUGCUGGAGGUAUCAGAAGUGCGAAUGCUGACAUAAGUAACGAUAAAGCGGGUGAAAAGCCCGCUCGCCGGAAGACCAAGGGUUCCUGUCCAACGUUAAUCGGGGCAGGGUGAGUCGACCCCUAAGGCGAGGCCGAAAGGCGUAGUCGAUGGGAAACAGGUUAAUAUUCCUGUACUUGGUGUUACUGCGAAGGGGGGACGGAGAAGGCUAUGUUAGCCGGGCGACGGUUGUCCCGGUUUAAGCAUGUAGGCUGGUUAUCCAGGCAAAUCCGGAUAAUCAAGGCUGAGGUGUGAUGACGAGGCACUACGGUGCUGAAGUAACAAAUGCCCUGCUUCCAGGAAAAGCCUCUAAGCAUCAGGUAACAUUGAAUCGUACCCCAAACCGACACAGGUGGUCAGGUAGAGAAUACCAAGGCGCUUGAGAGAACUCGGGUGAAGGAACUAGGCAAAAUGGUGCCGUAACUUCGGGAGAAGGCACGCUGGUGUGUAGGUGAAGCCCCUGCGGGUGGAGCUGAGACCAGUCGAAGAUACCAGCUGGCUGCAACUGUUUAUUAAAAACACAGCACUGUGCAAACACGAAAGUGGACGUAUACGGUGUGACGCCUGCCCGGUGCCGGAAGGUUAAUUGAUGGGGUUAUCCGUAAGGAGAAGCUCUUGAUCGAAGCCCCGGUAAACGGCGGCCGUAACUAUAACGGUCCUAAGGUAGCGAAAUUCCUUGUCGGGUAAGUUCCGACCUGCACGAAUGGCGUAAUGAUGGCCAGGCUGUCUCCACCCGAGACUCAGUGAAAUUGAACUCGCUGUGAAGAUGCAGUGUACCCGCGGCAAGACGGAAAGACCCCGUGAACCUUUACUAUAGCUUGACACUGAACAUUGAGCCUUGAUGUGUAGGAUAGGUGGGAGGCUUUGAAGCGUGGACGCCAGUCUGCGUGGAGCCAACCUUGAAAUACCACCCUUUAAUGUUUGAUGUUCUAACGUUGGCCCCUGACCGGGGUUGCGGACAGUGUCUGGUGGGUAGUUUGACUGGGGCGGUCUCCUCCCAAAGCGUAACGGAGGAGCACGAAGGUUAGCUAAUCCUGGUCGGACAUCAGGAGGUUAGUGCAAUGGCAUAAGCUAGCUUGACUGCGAGCGUGACGGCGCGAGCAGGUGCGAAAGCAGGUCAUAGUGAUCCGGUGGUUCUGAAUGGAAGGGCCAUCGCUCAACGGAUAAAAGGUACUCCGGGGAUAACAGGCUGAUACCGCCCAAGAGUUCAUAUCGACGGCGGUGUUUGGCACCUCGAUGUCGGCUCAUCACAUCCUGGGGCUGAAGUAGGUCCCAAGGGUAUGGCUGUUCGCCAUUUAAAGUGGUACGCGAGCUGGGUUUAGAACGUCGUGAGACAGUUCGGUCCCUAUCUGCCGUGGGCGCUGGAGAAUUGAGGGGGGCUGCUCCUAGUACGAGAGGACCGGAGUGGACGCAUCACUGGUGUUCGGGUUGUCAUGCCAAUGGCACUGCCCGGUAGCUAAAUGCGGAAGAGAUAAGUGCUGAAAGCAUCUAAGCACGAAACUUGCCCCGAGAUGAGUUCUCCCUGAGACUUUAAGUCUCCUGAAGGAACGUU
rnacentral:rRNA from 1 species